rnacentral:tRNA from 1 species
GGCUCCGUGGUCUAGUGGUAAGAUACCUGCUUUGGGUGCAGGUGAUCCCGGGUUCGAACCCCGGCGGAGCCC